rnacentral:rRNA from 1 species
GACGAACGCUGGCGGCGUGCUUAACACAUGCAAGUCGAACGGUAAGGCCCUUCGGGGUACACGAGUGGCGAACGGGUGAGUAACACGUGGGUGAUCUGCCCUGCACUUCGGGAUAAGCCUGGGAAACUGGGUCUAAUACCGGAUAGGACCACUGCCUGCAUGGGUGGUGGUGGAGAGCUUUUGCGGUGUGGGAUGGGCCCGCGGCCUAUUAGCUUGUUGGUGGGGUGAUGGCCUACCAAGGCGACGACGGGUGGCCGGCCUGGGAGGGUGACCGGCCACCCUGGGACUGAGGUCCGGCCCCGGCUCCUACGGGAGGCAGCAGUGGGGAAUAUUGCACAAUGGGCGCAAGCCUGAUGCAGCGACGCCGCGUGAGGGAUGACGGCCUUCGGGUUGUAAACCUCUUUCAGUAGGGACGAAGCGCAAGUGACGGUACCUACAGAAGAAGGACCGGCCAACUACGUGCCAGCCGCCGCAGUAA